UUACUCUUACGGGAGGCAGCAGUAGGGAAUCUUCCACAAUGGGCGAAAGCCUGAUGGAGCAACGCCGCGUGAGUGAGGAAGGCUUUCGGGUCGUAAAGCUCUGUUGCCAGGGAAGAAUAAGAAUAUGUUAACUGCAUAUUCGAUGACGGUACCUGAGAAGAAAGCCCCGGCUAACUACGUGCCAGCAGCCGCGGUAAUACGUAGGGGGCAAGCGUUGUCCGGAAUUAUUGGGCGUAAAGCGCGCGCAGGCGGUUCUUUAAGUCUGGUGUCUAAGUGCGGGGCUCAACCCCGUGAUGCACUGGAAACUGGAGGACUUGAGUGCAGAAGAGGAGAGCGGAAUUCCACGUGUAGCGGUGAAAUGCGUAGAGAUGUGGAGGAACACCAGUGGCGAAGGCGGCUCUCUGGACUGUAACUGACGCUGAGGCGCGAAGCUACUAAA
rnacentral:rRNA from 1 species